UACAGAGGUCCCGAGCGUUGUUCGGAUUUACUGGGCGUAAAGGGUGCGUAGGCGGUCGGGUAAGUCUGAUGUGAAAUUCCUGGGCUCAACCCAGAAACGGCAUUAGAUACUAUCCGGCUAGAGGAUUGGAGGGGGGAUUGGAAUUCUCGGUGUAGCAGUGAAAUGCGUAGAUAUCGAGAGGAACACCAGUGGCGAAGGCGAAUCCCUGGACAAUUCCUGACGCUGAGGCACGAAAGCUAGGGGAG
rnacentral:rRNA from 1 species